rnacentral:lncRNA from 1 species
UAUGAUUAAUAUUUUAGUAGAUUGGUACUGCUGCUUAUUUGAUGGCCUAAUAGAGAUUACAUCAGGCUACAGAAAACAUGCAAUUAAGUCAUAAAAAGUAAUUGUAAAUUUAACUGUGUGUUUUUAAAAUUAUUUUCAUUUUGAUGCAGUGCUUACAGCAAGAACAAGGGAUUUUAUUAUGUGUAGCUUUUUGAAGCUGAUUAGUGAUGUCCUUUUAUAACUUCAGUUAAACAGAUUGAACCACAUUGGUCUUCUGAAGUCAUAUUUAUAAAUUAAUCACUAGUAAGCAAGCUGCUAACAAAUUGGAUGUGUGAGCAGUACUGUAUUAAUACAUUUACAGGAUGAGAGAGUUCUUAUUUACAGGUUGAAAAAAUGUUGUCUCUUCAAGGAAAUGCUAUAAAUUAAAGCCACCAGAAACUGGAAAGAUAGCAAGUUAGAUGAAUGGUUACAUUUUAAUUUAUAAGGAUGUGAGCUCUGCAAACCAGAUGUGAUACCCAUAUAGGACAGAAAUGCAGUGUGAUAUCUCUAUUUACUGAGCUCCAUCUAGAGUACUAAAAAGUCAUAUGUAUCUUGUCCUUGAUCUAAGCAUCUGCAGUCUCAUCCCAGUUUGGUAUCAUCGAUGGCUUCAGCAGCUCUCCAUAAGCACCAGGAACAAAAACAAGGAAAGAAAUACCUUGGAUUUUGAGUAGAUACUUCAAAUGGUGUCUGAAGAAAUCUCACCUAAGCAUUAAUUCAAAAUGCUUUUGCAGGUAAGUUGGUUAAAUCCACUGAAAAUGCAGCGUUUUUGACGAAGUGCGAAAUGAGUUACCAUUAGAGUCAGUCUUGUUUAACACCAGUGUUCGUGU